rnacentral:rRNA from 1 species
GCCAGCGGCGAUAGCACGUUGAAUGCACCAGUUUCCAAUGGAUCACAUAGGUUAAGCAACGUUUCGGAUGGUUAGUAUCCGAAUGGGUGACCAUCUGGGAUACCAGGUGCUGAUGGUU